GUAAGGAAUCAGUUACACUGUGUGGAGGAAACAUGGGUGUGAGCAUGAUGCUUUAGUGUUGUUUCUCAGGAAAGAGAUCACUGCUUAAGGAUGCGGACUUUUCUGCUACUUCUUUGGAGCCAAGGCUUUGUGUUCAGUGUCCUCGUCUACCAAAAGCCAAACAGGGGCAUCUGUCAAAGUGGAACUUCACUGAAAAUCCAGUGUGUGGUUGAUAGUCAAGUGGUUGCAAUGUUUUGGUACCGACAGUUCCAGGGACAGAGCUUGAUGCCUAUAGCGACUGCAAAUGAAGGCUCUGAAGCCACCUAUGAAAGUGGAUUCACCAAGGACAAGUUUUCAAUCAGCCGCCCGAACCUAACAUUCUCAACAUUGACAGUGAAUAACGCAAGACCUGAAGACAGCAGUGUCUAUUUCUGUAGUUCUGGAGACACAGUGCUGGUUGCAAGGGAGAGAUCUCGACAAGAACCCCAUCUCCUUUCUUUGAGUUCUCCCCAGAUGAACCUGAGGUCCCUGCUGAUAUACCCAGUAUGA